GAUGAACGCUGGCGGCGUGCCUAAUACAUGCAAGUCGAGCGAACGGACGAGAAGCUUGCUUUUCUGAUGUUAGCGGCGGACGGGUGAGUAACACGUGGAUAACCUACCUAUAAGACUGGGAUAACUUCGGGAAACCGGAGCUAAUACCGGAUAAUAUUUUGAACCGCAUGGUUCAAAAGUGAAAGACGGUCUUGCUGUCACUUAUAGAUGGAUCCGCGCUGCAUUAGCUAGUUGGUAAGGUAACGGCUUACCAAGGCAACGAUGCAUAGCCGACCUGAGAGGGUGAUCGGCCACACUGGAACUGAGACACGGUCCAGACUCCUACGGGAGGCAGCAGUAGGGAAUCUUCCGCAAUGGGCGAAAGCCUGACGGAGCAACGCCGCGUGAGUGAUGAAGGUCUUCGGAUCGUAAAACUCUGUUAUUAGGGAAGAACAUAUGUGUAAGUAACUGUGCACAUCUUGACGGUACCUAAUCAGAAAGCCACGGCUAACUACGUGCCAGCAGCCGCGGUAAUACGUAGGUGGCAAGCGUUAUCCGGAAUUAUUGGGCGUAAAGCGCGCGUAGGCGGUUUUUUAAGUCUGAUGUGAAAGCCCACGGCUCAACCGUGGAGGGUCAUUGGAAACUGGAAAACUUGAGUGCAGAAGAGGAGAGUGGAAUUCCAUGUGUAGCGGUGAAAUGCGCAGAGAUAUGGAGGAACACCAGUGGCGAAGGCGACUUUCUGGUCUGUAACUGACGCUGAUGUGCGAAAGCGUGGGGAUCAAACAGGAUUAGAUACCCUGGUAGUCCACGCCGUAAACGAUGAGUGCUAAGUGUCAGGGGGUUUCCGCCCCUUAGUGCUGCAGCUAACGCAUUAAGCACUCCGCCUGGGGAGUACGACCGCAAGGUUGAAACUCAAAGGGAUUGACGGGGACCCGCACAAGCGGUGGAGCAUGUGGUUUAAUUCGAAGCAACGCGAAGAACCUUACCAAAUCUUGACAUCCUUUGACAACUCUAGAGAUAGAGCCUUCCCCUUCGGGGGACAAAGUGACAGGUGGUGCAUGGUUGUCGUCAGCUCGUGUCGUGAGAUGCUGGGUUAAGUCCCGCAACGAGCGCAACCCUUAAGCUUAGUUGCCAUCAUUAAGUUGGGCACUCUAAGUUGACUGCCGGUGACAAACCGGAGGAAGGUGGGGAUGACGUCAAAUCAUCAUGCCCCUUAUGAUUUGGGCUACACACGUGCUACAAUGGACAAUACAAAGGGCAGCGAAACCGCGAGGUCAAGCAAAUCCCAUAAAGUUGUUCUCAGUUCGGAUUGUAGUCUGCAACUCGACUACAUGAAGCUGGAAUCGCUAGUAAUCGUAGAUCAGCAUGCUACGGUGAAUACGUUCCCGGGUCU
rnacentral:rRNA from 1 species